rnacentral:rRNA from 1 species
GUGAGGAAUAUUGGUCAAUGGACGGAAGUCUGAACCAGCCAUGCCGCGUGCAGGAAUAAGGUCCUAUGGAUUGUAAACUGCUUUUAUUCGGGAAUAAACCUCUUUACGUGUAGGGAGCUGAAGGUACCGAAGGAAUAAGCACCGGCUAACUCCGUGCCAGCAGCCGCGGUAAUACGGAGGGUGCAAGCGUUAUCCGGAAUCAUUGGGUUUAAAGGGUCCGCAGGCGGGCUAUCAAGUCAGAGGUGAAAUCCCACAGCUUAACUGUGGAACUGCCUUUGAAACUGAUGGUCUUGUAUUAAGUGGGCGUUGGCGGAAUAUGACAUGUAGCGGUGAAAUGCAUAGAUAUGUCAUGGAACACCGAAAGCGAAGGCAGCUAACGAUACUUAUAUUGACGCUCAUGGACGAAAGCGUGGGUAGCGAACAGGAUUAGAUACCCUAGUAGUCC